rnacentral:lncRNA from 1 species
AUGGCAUUUCAAACAGAAUGCAGUGAUAGUGACGUCAUGAGACUUCCAAGAGUCUGUCAUAAGAGGGUGGCUUUCUACCAGAUUCUAUCUCAGGUCACUUCCUGCAGGGGGUUGCAACUGGAGGAAGAACUGGGCUCUGAAGACAAAUGUCCUGGUAGAAAUGUUUUCCUCUGACCGUUUCCCCACCUUCCCACCAUCGCAGGAUUGCUCAGUCUUUCUGAGUCCAGACUAUUCAGAAGCAAUGCUGAGGGCAGCAAACCUGCAAUUGUCAAAUGGCUGUGUUGGCUGAGAAGUCCCCCGAAACCAAAUCAACAUCCACAUAAUGAGCUUGGUUUCCCAGUUGCGAAUUAUAACGAAGAGCAGCCAGCAUCUGAAGCCCUAAAGGGUGUGUGUGUGUGUGUGUGUGUGUGUGUGUGUGUGUGAUUUCUGAAGCACAUGAUAAGAAAGUAC